CAGAAACCAAAAUGAAUGCCUUCAAACAUAACUCACCAUGCCCAACAGUCAGGUUAUUCUGCUUCUGACUCCUCGCAUUGUACGUACUGUUGAAAGUAUCCUGAGUGGUUGCAUCAUCAUCUGGUAUGGCAACUCGAAUGCGCAGGAAUGUAAGAAGCUGCAGAGAGUAGUGGACUCUGCCCAUUACAUCACAGGCACAUCCCUCCUCACCAUUGGUAGUAUCUACAGAAGACAGUGCCUCAAGAAGGCAACAUCUAUCA